rnacentral:rRNA from 1 species
GCUAGCUACAGGCUUAACACAUGCAAGUCGAGGGGCUGCAUGGUCUUAGCUUGCUAAGGCCGAUGGCGACCGGCGCACGGGUGAGUAACACGUAUCCAACCUGCCGUCUACUCUUGGACAGCCUUCUGAAAGGAAGAUUAAUACAAGAUGGCAUCAUGAGUCCGCAUGUUCACAUGAUUAAAGGUAUUCCGGUAGACGAUGGGGAUGCGUUCCAUUAGAUAGUAGGCGGGGUAACGGCCCACCUAGUCUUCGAUGGAUAGGGGUUCUGAGAGGAAGGUCCCCCACAUUGGAACUGAGACACGGUCCAAACUCCUACGGGAGGCAGCAGUGAGGAAUAUUGGUCAAUGGGCGAGAGCCUGAACCAGCCAAGUAGCGUGAAGGAUGACUGCCCUAUGGGUUGUAAACUUCUUUUAUAAAGGAAUAAAGUCGGGUAUGGAUACCCGUUUGCAUGUACUUUAUGAAUAAGGAUCGGCUAACUCCGUGCCAGCAGCCGCGGUAAUACGGAGGAUCCGAGCGUUAUCCGGAUUUAUUGGGUUUAAAGGGAGCGUAGAUGGAUGUUUAAGUCAGUUGUGAAAGUUUGCGGCUCAACCGUAAAAUUGCAGUUGAUACUGGAUAUCUUGAGUGCAGUUGAGGCAGGCGGAAUUCGUGGUGUAGCGGUGAAAUGCUUAGAUAUCACGAAGAACUCCGAUUGCGAAGGCAGCCUGCUAAGCUGCAACUGACAUUGAGGCUCGAAAGUGUGGGUAUCAAACAGGAUUAGAUACCCUGGUAGUCCACACGGUAAACGAUGAAUACUCGCUGUUUGCGAUAUACAGCAAGCGGCCAAGCGAAAGCGUUAAGUAUUCCACCUGGGGAGUACGCCGGCAACGGUGAAACUCAAAGGAAUUGACGGGGGCCCGCACAAGCGGAGGAACAUGUGGUUUAAUUCGAUGAUACGCGAGGAACCUUACCCGGGCUUAAAUUGCAGAUGAAUUACGGUGAAAGCCGUAAGCCGCAAGGCAUCUGUGAAGGUGCUGCAUGGUUGUCGUCAGCUCGUGCCGUGAGGUGUCGGCUUAAGUGCCAUAACGAGCGCAACCCUUGUUGUCAGUUACUAACAGGUUCCGCUGAGGACUCUGACAAGACUGCCAUCGUAAGAUGUGAGGAAGGUGGGGAUGACGUCAAAUCAGCACGGCCCUUACGUCCGGGGCUACACACGUGUUACAAUGGGGGGUACAGAGGGCCGCUACCACGCGAGUGGAUGCCAAUCCCCAAAACCUCUCUCAGUUCGGACUGGAGUCUGCAACCCGACUCCACGAAGCUGGAUUCGCUAGUAAUCGCGCAUCAGCCACGGCGCGGUGAAUACGUUCCCGGGCCUUGUACACACCGCCC